rnacentral:rRNA from 1 species
ACGGGAGGCAGCAGUGGGGAAUAUUGCACAAUGGGCGAAAGCCUGAUGCAGCUAUGCCGCGUGUAUGAAGAAGGCCUUUGGGUUGUAAAGUACUUUCAACAAGAAAGAAAUAAUAAAAUUUAAUAAAUUUUAUUACUGACGUUACUUGUAAAAGAAGCACCGGCUAACUCCGUGCCAGCAGCCGCGGUAAUACGGAGGGUGCGAGCGUUAAUCGGAAUUACUGGGCGUAAAGAGCACGUAGGCGGUAUAUUAAGUCAGAUGUGAAAUCCCUGAGCUUAACUUAGGAAUUGCAUUUGAAACUAAUAUGCUUGAGUUUCGUAGAGGGGGGUAGAAUUCCAGGUGUAGCGGUGAAAUGCGUAGAUAUCUGGAGGAAUACCAGUGGCGAAGGCGACCCCCUGGACGAAUACUGACGCUCAGGUGCGAAAGCAUGGGUAGCAAACAGGAUUAGAUACCCUGGUAGUCCAUGCUGUAAACGAUGUCGACUUGGAGGUUGUAAGCUUGACUUAUAACUUUCGUAGCUAACGCGUUAAGUCGACCGCCUGGGGAGUACGACCGCAAGGUUAAAACUCAAAUGAAUUGACGGGGGCCCGCACAAGCGGUGGAGCAUGUGGUUUAAUUCGAAGCAACGCGAA